rnacentral:rRNA from 1 species
AGCAGUAGCCGCGGUAAUACGGAGGGAGCUAGCGUUGUUCGGAAUUACUGGGCGUAAAGCGCGCGUAGGCGGUUACUCAAGUCAGAGGUGAAAGCCCGGGGCUCAACCCCGGAACUGCCUUUGAAACUAGGUGACUAGAAUCUUGGAGAGGUCAGUGGAAUUCCGAGUGUAGAGGUGAAAUUCGUAGAUAUUCGGAAGAACACCAGUGGCGAAGGCGACUGACUGGACAAGUAUUGACGCUGAGGUGCGAAAGCGUGGGGAGCAAACAGGAUUAGAUACCCCCGUAGUCCCUGUCUCUUAUAA